rnacentral:rRNA from 1 species
AUUGAACGCUGGCGGCAUGCUUUACACAUGCAAGUCGAACGGUAACAGGCCGCAAGGUGCUGACGAGUGGCGAACGGGUGAGUAAUGCAUCGGAACGUGCCCAGUCGUGGGGGAUAACUACUCGAAAGAGUAGCUAAUACCGCAUACGAUCUAUGGAUGAAAGCGGGGGACCGUAAGGCCUCGCGCGAGUGGAGCGGCCGAUGUCAGAUUAGGUAGUUGGUGGGGUAAAGGCUCACCAAGCCAACGAUCUGUAGCUGGUCUGAGAGGACGACCAGCCACACUGGGACUGAGACACGGCCCAGACUCCUACGGGAGGCAGCAGUGGGGAAUUUUGGACAAAGGGCGCAAGCCUGAUCCAGCAAUGCCGCGUGCAGGAAGAAGGCCUUCGGGUUGUAAACUGCUUUUGUACGGAACGAAACGGCUCUGGUUAAUACCCGGGGCUAAUGACGGUACCGUAAGAAUAAGCACCGGCUAACUACGUG